CCACCCCCAAUUAUCAGCCAACAAAACGAACUGACCCAGCCCACACUCAACUAUCUUUUUUUUCAACCGAACCACUAAAAAUUUCAACCCAUCUCAAAUUUCCAGAAAGUGUGAACUCCACCAAAAACGACAAACCAACAUAAUCAACGCGCUUCAUCAUCCCUGUCUCCAUACCACUGCAGCAGCAAAAUCAACUGGGCAAGGCACGCGAUCAUCCUUGGUGGCGUGAGAUGGAGACACGUAUAACACCAAGGACAAUCGAUUUCAUCUCAUACAUACCCCCCUCUUUCCCUUUUCGGAUAAGUUCAGAUUUUUUUUCCAGAAAUCUUGUGGAUGAAAAAGGGGAAAGGGGGUUUCGAAUUCAAACUAGCACAUGGAAUCCCAAUUUUUCCUUUAGUCCCUGUCGUUUUUGGCUCUCCCCCCCUUUUUCCAUAAAACCUAGCCGUUUUGCUAUAUAUACUCGUUAUGAUUAUUGUUUGAGAGGGGGGGGGGGUUUCUAGAGAGAUAAGUUUUUUUGAUUUAAUUUACAACUAACAGAAACGUUGUAGGAAAAUUUUUAGAAAAUAACAUAUACAUACAUAUAUCAGAGAAAAUACUAGAGAGAGCUAGAGUUGAAAUUUGUUUGAGAAUAUUCCGAAGGAAAGAAAGUUAGCUCAGUUGAGACCUGGUGUCGUUUCUUUCUCAUUAUUUCUUUUCAAGUUCAAAGGAGUUUAUCGGGAUCCCUGCUCGUUUGUUUGUUUUGUUUCGCUCGGCUGUCCAUAUUCAUGGUCACGUUGGUGGGAAAGGAUUGCCACUCUAAAAGCUCGUCGACACCCAGUUUCGCUGCAUCGGAGGAGUCGCCCGAGUUCUCCGUGAAUUCUCUCUCCUUUCCUCUAGCAUUUCCGGGAGCCAUAAGAGCUCAAAAUUCCCCUUUCGAGUCAACCCAUAAAAUUGACGUACAGUUCUUGAGGUUUAAGAAAUCCAAGAAGAUCGAAGAAAUUGAAUGAUCUGGACAAGAGUCCAACAAUUUUAUUGUGAAAAAUGUUAUAUUUUGUUUUGGCCUAAGCCCUUUUUUAUCAUCAUUAUUUGGAAUAGUUAGGACAGUUACAAGUCGAGUGGGCCUAAGGCCCACAAACAAAGGGUCCAAAUACUUGUCCAGACAGACAGAUAACCCGGAUUUGGACCCAUCUCUCCUCUCUCUCUUUCUCUUUAUCCCUCUCUCUCUCUCUUA